AGAGUUUGAUCAUGGCUCAGAUUGAACGCUGGCGGCAUGCCUUACACAUGCAAGUCGAACGGCAGCGCGGGGCAACCUGGCGGCGAGUGGCGAACGGGUGAGUAAUAUAUCGGAACGUACCCUGGAGUGGGGGAUAACGUAGCGAAAGUUACGCUAAUACCGCAUACGAUCUAAGGAUGAAAGCAGGGGACCGCAAGGCCUUGUGCUCCUGGAGCGGCCGAUAUCUGAUUAGCUAGUUGGUGGGGUAAAGGCCUACCAAGGCAUCGAUCAGUAGCUGGUCUGAGAGGACGACCAGCCACACUGGAACUGAGACACGGUCCAGACUCCUACGGGAGGCAGCAGUGGGGAAUUUUGGACAAUGGGCGCAAGCCUGAUCCAGCAAUGCCGCGUGAGUGAAGAAGGCCUUCGGGUUGUAAAGCUCUUUUGUCAGGGAAGAAACGGGUGAGGCUAAUAUCCUUGCCUAAUGACGGUACCUGAAGAAUAAGCACCGGCUAACUACGUGCCAGCAGCCGCGGUAAUACGUAGGGUGCAAGCGUUAAUCGGAAUUACUGGGCGUAAAGCGUGCGCAGGCGGUUUUGUAAGUCUGUCGUGAAAUCCCCGGGCUCAACCUGGGAAUUGCGAUUGUGACUGCAUCGCUGGAGUGCGGCAGAGGGGGAUGGAAUUCCGCGUGUAGCAGUGAAAUGCGUAGAUAUGCGGAGGAACACCGAUGGCGAAGGCAAUCCCCUGGGCCUGCACUGACGCUCAUGCACGAAAGCGUGGGGAGCAAACAGGAUUAGAUACCCUGGUAGUCC
rnacentral:rRNA from 1 species